GACGAACGCUGGCGGCGUGCUUAACACAUGCAAGUCGAGCGGUAAGGCCCUUUCGGGGUACACGAGCGGCGAACGGGUGAGUAACACGUGGGUGACCUGCCCUCAGCUCUGGGAGUAAAGCCCGGGAAACUGGGUCUAAUACUGGAUAUGACUCCACGGUGCAUGCCGUGGGGUGGAAAGCCUUGUGCGGCUGAGGAUGGGCCCGCGGCCUAUCAGCUUGGUUGGUGGGGUGANGGCCUACCAAGGCGACGACGGGUAGCCGGCCUGAGAGGGCGACCGGCCACACUGGGACUGAGACACGGCCCAGACUCCUACGGGAGGCAGCAGUGGGGAAUCUUGCGCAAUGGGCGAAAGCCUGACGCAGCGACGCCGCGUGAGGGAUGACGG
rnacentral:rRNA from 1 species